rnacentral:rRNA from 1 species
UACGGAGGGUGCAAGCGUUAUCCGGAUUCACUGGGUUUAAAGGGUGCGUAGGAGGGCAGGUAAGUCAGUGGUGAAAUCUCCAAGCUUAACUUGGAACUGCCGUUGAUACUAUCUGUCUUGAAUACCGUGGAGGUGAGCGGAAUAUGUCAUGUAGCGGUGAAAUGCUUAGAUAUGACAUAGAACACCAAUUGCGAAGGCAGCUCGCUACACGAAUAUUGACUCUGAAGGCACGAAAGCGUGGGGAUCAAACAGG